UGUUCCUGGUGGUAAUUUCUUCUUUUAGUGGUAACUCCUCGUUGUCUACUUCUUCCAUUUUGCUCUAAUUUGUAGAUUUGUAUUAGGUCUCCUGUUUCUCUUCUUUGUUCUAGUGUUGGUAAGUCCAUUUCCUUUAGUGUCUCCUCGUAUGUCAAUCCCUGGAACCAUUUUUGUUGCCAUCUUUUGUAUUCUUUCUAGUUUCUUGAUGUGUUUCUUCUUAUGGGGAGACCACACUGCCUCUGCAUGUGUGUGUGUGUGUGUGUGUGUGUGUGUGUGUGUGUGUGUGUGUGUGUGAAGAUUGACUGACUGAUGAAUGAAUGACUGUGAGAUUAAGGUUGGUAUUACAAGACAGUUUCCCUGCUCACAUCAGCUACUUCUAAAGGUCAAAGGGGGAUAUCAGUCAGGCUCUAAUGAGUGUUUUUCAGGCUCAUGGUACAGAAGAAGGGUUAAACUACCACCAGGGUCAUAAAACUACUCCUGGAAAUGCCCACAACUCCUGCGAAAGCCUUGUCAAAUAGGUGUUCUUGGGCGGGGAAAUGUCUUAUGAUACGACCCUAAGUAAAUAACUUCCUGAUGGAGUGGAUGAUUGACUUGGCAACCUGUAGCCUUACUCUCAGCCAUUUCAAGUUCUUGACUGAUGUACUAACACCCUCAGAUUGGCUACAGUGAAGGUCGUGGCAGAGAGUGUACUCAAACUCCUACUGUGAGCUACUCCUGAUGCCUGCGCCCUCACCACCCCUGUGAAGGACGCCCAGCUGACCCAACCCUCCACGUGUGCCCCUGAGAGCUCCCUGCAGCACAGCGAGUCUCUUCUUGGACGGCUCAGAGGCACAGAAGAUGUAGCCAGACUUGCCGGCCAAACCCGAGGGUGUGUGUUGAUGCUGGGACCAAGAAGAAGAAGAAGAGGAAGAGGAGGAGGAGAAGGAAGAUGAUAAUCGCAACAGGAAGAUCAGAAGAGGAGGAGGAAGAAGAAGAAGAAGAGGAGGAGGAAGAAUGGAAGAAGAAAAGAGAACACACACACACACACACACACAUAUAUAUGACAAACACCUUUUUCUAUAUUUUUCAUUUUUAUUAGUCCAUAAAACAUACAUUAGCUAUAUACAUAUAAUACAACAUAUGCAUAACUAUAUACAUUAGACCGUAGAGUGAGUGAGUGAGAGACUCGAGAGGUGAGAUAGAGAGGCGCCCCCCCUCUCUCUCUCUCUCUCUCUCUCUCUCUCUCUCUCUCUCACCUCACCACAGCUCACAGGACCCCACAGAUGUACCCCUACAGUAUGUUGAUAACCCCCCACAGACACAUACCCCCCCAGCCUCAUGAAGGACCCCCUCCUCCCUCCCUCCCCCCCUAGCCAACAUAGCCUUAUCAAUGUUACUAAGUGUAUGUAUGUAUGUGUGUUUUUCUAUUAAUAAAAAGUUAAUUUGUAAUGUUUAUGUGUUCUAUUCCUAUGAGAGAGGAAAAGGUAAAGAGGGAGAGAGAGAGAACGAAAUGAGAAGCAAAAGAGAGAGAGAGGAGGUAAGGGAAGGAGAGAGAAGGAAAAUAAAGAAUGAAAGAACAG